rnacentral:lncRNA from 1 species
UAUCAUGUUGUUUAUCACCAAGAGAAAUGAUACCAAGACGAUCUAAUUUAAAAACAUAUGAAGAACUAAUAUGUCCUAAUCUAGCAUGCCAAAUAUCAUAUGAAUCAAUCAAACAUGCAGAAGGAAUAUUUUUAUUCAUAAAUGUAGAGAUAUCCAACACAAAUAAAUCGUUACUAUAAAAUCCUUUGCCUACAAAGCCCCCACAUUUUGAAAGUAAAACUUUGUUUGAUUCAAAAGUGACUGUUACACCCGCUUUGCUCAAUAUAGACACAUACACCAAAUUAUAACUCAUAUGAGGCACAUAUAAAACAUUACUUAAAGAUAUGGUUUUUCCAGAGGCAAGUUUUAAAUCCACUUUUCCUAUACCAAGAACAUCAACUGUUCCCGAAUCACUUAAAAUGAUAUGUUCCUUUCCUUUCGCUAUUUAUAAGAUGUGAACAUAUUUUUAUUUGCACAAAUAUGUGAGGUAGAGCCUGAGUCUAGCACCCAUGGUUUUUCCUUCAUUGAAAGUAUUGUAUGAGAAAUAACAUUCACAUGUAUAUCAUCUGACAAAAC